CCUACGGGGGGCAGCAGUGGGGAAUAUUGCACAAUGGGGGAAACCCUGAUGCAGCGACGCCGCGUGAGUGAUGAAGUAUUUCGGUAUGUAAAGCUCUAUCAGCAGGGAAGAUAAUGACGGUACCUGACUAAGAAGCUCCGGCUAAAUACGUGCCAGCAGCCGCGGUAAUACGUAUGGAGCAAGCGUUAUCCGGAUUUACUGGGUGUAAAGGGAGCGUAGACGGCGCGGCAAGUCUGAAGUGAAAGGCAGGGGCUUAACCCCUGAACUGCUUUGGAAACUGCCAUGCUAGAGUGCUGGAGAGGUAA
rnacentral:rRNA from 1 species